GGUUAAGCGACUAAGCGUACACGGUGGAUGCCCUGGCAGUCAGAGGCGAUGAAGGACGUGCUAAUCUGCGAAAAGCGUCGGUAAGGUGAUAUGAACCGUUAUAACCGGCGAUGUCCGAAUGGGGAAACCCAGUGCAAUUCGUUGCACUAUCGUUAACUGAAUACAUAGGUUAACGAGGCGAACCGGGGGAACUGAAACAUCUAAGUACCCCGAGGAAAAGAAAUCAACCGAGAUUCCCCCAGUAGCGGCGAGCGAACGGGGAGCAGCCCAGAGUCUGAAUCAGCUUGUGUGUUAGUGGAACGGUCUGGAAAGUCCGACGGUACAGGGUGAUAGUCCCGUACACCAAAAUGCACAGGCUGUGAACUCGAAGAGUAGGGCGGGACACGUGGUAUCCUGUCUGAAUAUGGGGGGACCAUCCUCCAAGGCUAAAUACUCCUGACUGACCGAUAGUGAACCAGUACCGUGAGGGAAAGGCGAAAAGAACCCCGGCGAGGGGAGUGAAAAAGAACCUGAAACCGUGUACGUACAAGCAGUGGGAGCACCUUCGGGUGUGACUGCGUACCUUUUGUAUAAUGGGUCAGCGACUUAUAUUCUGUAGCAAGGUUAACCGUAUAGGGGAGCCGCAGGGAAACCGAGUCUUAACUGGGCGUUAAGUUGCAGGGUAUAGACCCGAAACCCGGUGAUCUAGCCAUGGGCAGGUUGAAGGUUGGGUAACACUAACUGGAGGACCGAACCGACUAAUGUUGAAAAAUUAGCGGAUGACUUGUGGCUGGGGGUGAAAGGCCAAUCAAACCGGGAGAUAGCUGGUUCUCCCCGAAAGCUAUUUAGGUAGCGCCUCGUGAACUCAUCUUCGGGGGUAGAGCACUGUUUCGGCUAGGGGGUCAUCCCGACUUACCAACCCGAUGCAAACUACGAAUACCGAAGAAUGUUAUCACGGGAGACACACGGCGGGUGCUAACGUCCGUCGUGAAGAGGGAAACAACCCAGACCGCCAGCUAAGGUCCCAAAGUCAUGGUUAAGUGGGAAACGAUGUGGGAAGGCACAGACAGCCAGGAUGUUGGCUUAGAAGCAGCCAUCAUUUAAAGAAAGCGUAAUAGCUCACUGGUCGAGUCGGCCUGCGCGGAAGAUGUAACGGGGCUAAACCAUGCACCGAAGCUGCGGCAGCGACACUAUGUGUUGUUGGGUAGGGGAGCGUUCUGUAAGCCUGCGAAGGUGUGCUGUGAGGCAUGCUGGAGGUAUCAGAAGUGCGAAUGCUGACAUAAGUAACGAUAAAGCGGGUGAAAAGCCCGCUCGCCGGAAGACCAAGGGUUCCUGUCCAACGUUAAUCGGGGCAGGGUGAGUCGACCCCUAAGGCGAGGCCGAAAGGCGUAGUCGAUGGGAAACAGGUUAAUAUUCCUGUACUUGGUGUUACUGCGAAGGGGGGACGGAGAAGGCUAUGUUAGCCGGGCGACGGUUGUCCCGGUUUAAGCAUGUAGGCUGGUUAUCCAGGCAAAUCCGGAUAAUCAAGGCUGAGGUGUGAUGACGAGGCACUACGGUGCUGAAGUAACAAAUGCCCUGCUUCCAGGAAAAGCCUCUAAGCAUCAGGUAACAUCAAAUCGUACCCCAAACCGACACAGGUGGUCAGGUAGAGAAUACCAAGGCGCUUGAGAGAACUCGGGUGAAGGAACUAGGCAAAAUGGUGCCGUAACUUCGGGAGAAGGCACGCUGGUGUGUAGGUGAAGCCCCUGCGGGUGGAGCUGAGACCAGUCGAAGAUACCAGCUGGCUGCAACUGUUUAUUAAAAACACAGCACUGUGCAAACACGAAAGUGGACGUAUACGGUGUGACGCCUGCCCGGUGCCGGAAGGUUAAUUGAUGGGGUUAUCCGUAAGGAGAAGCUCUUGAUCGAAGCCCCGGUAAACGGCGGCCGUAACUAUAACGGUCCUAAGGUAGCGAAAUUCCUUGUCGGGUAAGUUCCGACCUGCACGAAUGGCGUAAUGAUGGCCAGGCUGUCUCCACCCGAGACUCAGUGAAAUUGAACUCGCUGUGAAGAUGCAGUGUACCCGCGGCAAGACGGAAAGACCCCGUGAACCUUUACUAUAGCUUGACACUGAACAUUGAGCCUUGAUGUGUAGGAUAGGUGGGAGGCUUUGAAGCGUGGACGCCAGUCUGCGUGGAGCCAACCUUGAAAUACCACCCUUUAAUGUUUGAUGUUCUAACGUUGGCCCCUGACCGGGGUUGCGGACAGUGUCUGGUGGGUAGUUUGACUGGGGCGGUCUCCUCCCAAAGCGUAACGGAGGAGCACGAAGGUUAGCUAAUCCUGGUCGGACAUCAGGAGGUUAGUGCAAUGGCAUAAGCUAGCUUGACUGCGAGCGUGACGGCGCGAGCAGGUGCGAAAGCAGGUCAUAGUGAUCCGGUGGUUCUGAAUGGAAGGGCCAUCGCUCAACGGAUAAAAGGUACUCCGGGGAUAACAGGCUGAUACCGCCCAAGAGUUCAUAUCGACGGCGGUGUUUGGCACCUCGAUGUCGGCUCAUCACAUCCUGGGGCUGAAGUAGGUCCCAAGGGUAUGGCUGUUCGCCAUUUAAAGUGGUACGCGAGCUGGGUUUAGAACGUCGUGAGACAGUUCGGUCCCUAUCUGCCGUGGGCGCUGGAGAAUUGAGGGGGGCUGCUCCUAGUACGAGAGGACCGGAGUGGACGCAUCACUGGUGUUCGGGUUGUCAUGCCAAUGGCACUGCCCGGUAGCUAAAUGCGGAAGAGAUAAGUGCUGAAAGCAUCUAAGCACGAAACUUGCCCCGAGAUGAGUUCUCCCUGAGACUUUAAGUCUCCUGAAGGAACGUUAAAGACGAUGACGUUGAUAGG
rnacentral:rRNA from 1 species